CAGAGGUCUUGAUGACGAUGAUCUUCCCAGCGUGCUUUGCGCCCCCCGUACUUUCUUCUCACGUGGGCAGAUUCAAGCGACAGCAGAACCAAACUACAAUGUACAAUGGAGAGCGGCUAUCAUGGAGGUAGACCCAGAUUGAGUGAUGAAGACGUCUGCAAAAUGGUUGCGUUGCAUGACCCUGUACGACACGGUUUCUCCAUGGAGGAUCCUUUGGAAGAUAACUUGUUCAACUUAGAAAUAACUGAGAGGAUUGGUAUGGGGUGACGCCACAGCUUCUAUCUGGAUUUGUGCAACUGUGAUGCUAUCCCACGACAGCCCAGCCUCUGAAAGGCAUGGAAAUCAAAGCAAGGUGGCUCAAACCCAGUAAAAAUGGGUCUUAACAACAACCAGUCUUGGACACCCAAAUUAAAUCUAGAUCAUCUGCUGGAAAAGGAGCCCAGGAGCGAGAGCAAGACAUAAACUGGAGUUGGAUCAGUGGCAGUGGACACACCAUGGGCAAAUCUUCGUCAACGCCUCCAUUUUGUGUACAUGGGGAGGCUAUGAGGAACAUGGGUGGAGAGGAUACCUGUAUUGAGGAGAGGAUGAAAUGGAGGUUACAGCCCGAGGACCAAACAGAUACCAUUGGGGAAAAAGUCUCCUGGACUUCAAGGAUGGAGGCCCAAGAGGACCACAGCAUCGUAGGCUUGGUCUAAUCUUUAAGACCAAACCAGCAGAUGUCUCAAACUGUUGAUUUUGUCCUUCAUUAGGUUUGCCCGUUCAGUUCUGAAGUGUGGGUGGUUUAUCAAAGGUGUGAAUGACUGUCUGUUAUGGUUUGUGGUCAUAUUGUAUGAUGUGUGUUGCAGGAUUUUCUCUUAUUGGACAUGAAUAUAUUUGAAGUUAUUUGUGUCCUUGUUGGUGGUGUGUGUAUGAAUGAGGAUCUGUGUACUGCAAUUUAAAAAAAAUAAAAAAGUUUUUCUGACUA